GGGGAAUUUUGGACAAUGGGGGCAACCCUGAUCCAGCCAUUCCGCGUGAGUGAAGAAGGCCUUCGGGUUGUAAAGCUCUUUUGUCCGGAACGAAACGGUUGUGGUGAAUAGCCCCGACUACUGACGGUACCGGAAGAAUAAGCACCGGCUAACUACGUGCCAGCAGCCGCGGUAAUACAGAGGGUGCGAGCGUUGUCCGGAAUCACUGGGCGUAAAGGGCGCGUAGGUGGUGGCUUAAGCGUGCGGUGAAAGCUCGGAGCUCAACUCCGAGUCGGCCGUGCGAACUGGGCUCACUGGAGCAUAGUAGAGGCAGGUGGAAUUCCUGGUGUAGCGGUGAAAUGCGCAGAUAUCAGGAGGAACACCGGUGGCGAAGGCGGGUCUCUGGGCCGAUACUGACGCUGAGGAGCGAAAGCGUGGGGAGCGAAC
rnacentral:rRNA from 1 species